UACGUAGGGGGCUAGCGUUAUCCGGAUUUACUGGGCGUAAAGGGUGCGUAGGUGGUCUUUCAAGUCGGUGGUUAAAGGCUACGGCUCAACCGUAGUUAGCCUCCGAAACUGGAAGACUUGAGUGCAGGAGAGGAAAGUGGAAUUCCCAGUGUAGCGGUGAAAUGCGUAGAUAUUGGGAGGAACACCAGUAGCGAAGGCGGCUUUCUGGACUGCAACUGACACUGAGGCACGAAAGCGUGGGUAGCAAACA
rnacentral:rRNA from 1 species